rnacentral:lncRNA from 1 species
UCGCCUUUUCGCGUGCAUCCAACACGACAACGAUAAAACAGCUGGGGAAUCAUACUGACUUUCUAAAGCAACAUGCGAGGAUCAUGCGCGAAAUGUGAAUCGCGUGCGCACGCCCCUGGGAAGCUUUCCAGAGCUUGGACGGGAACCAUCCUAGGCCAACACCAAGUUAGUUCUCCAUGACGUGAAAAGUUUCUUCUUCCAUCAGUUUUUCU